GAACGAACGCUGGCGGCGCGUUUAAGCAUGCAAGUCGAGCGGCAAGGGCCUUCGGGCCCCUAGAGCGGCGGACGGGUGAGUAACACGUGGACAAUCUGCCCCCCGGCCCGGGAUAGCCCAGGGAAACCUGGAUUAAUACCGGAUGAGACGGGACCCGCGAUGGCGGGAUCCGGGAAAGGCGCUGCGGCGCCGCCGGGGGAUGAGUCUGCGUCCCAUUAGCUAGACGGCGGGGUAACGGCCCACCGUGGCGACGAUGGGUAGCCGGCCUGAGAGGGUGGACGGCCACAUUGGAACUGAGACACGGUCCAGACUCCUACGGGAGGCAGCAGCUAAGAAUCUUCCGCAAUGGGCGAAAGCCUGACGGAGCGACGCCGCGUGAACGAAGAAGGCCGUGAGGUUGUAAAGUUCUUUUCGGGAGGGGGAACAACCGUGGCAGGGAAUGGCCGCGGGAUGACGUGAAUCCCGGAAUAAGCCCCGGCUAACUACGUGCCAGCAGCAGC
rnacentral:rRNA from 1 species